AAGAAAUUUGAGAACCACCACCAUUGAAAAGAACUUGAUCAGAAUGUAGAAGACCUUUAUUAGCAAUAAGGUCCUUAUAAUAAUUGUUGUCAAAUUUAGUUGGAGUGACAGAAUCAAAGGGUGCUAAAUUGGUGUCACCACCAGAGGUAGGGCAAUUUCUUUUUCUUAAGGUAGCCAAGUUUCUGUCAAUGUUGGCUUCAUUGUGUAUGCGAUUUCUGAAAAAUUGACACUCAGUUUGCCCUAUGGUGUGUGCACCAGAUAGGACUGUAAGGUCAUUUAAUGUUAGACUUUUGUUUUGAAACAUUCUAGUGAGUGUCGAUAGGUCAGAAGAUGGUCCAGGGAUUUGGCUAUUUGCUGCACUUUGACUUGCUGUUCUUGCAUCUCUUCUUCCAAGUGGUACUGCCCAUGAGGGUCCUCCAAGCUAUAUAAAUUAAUUGAAACAUGGUUAUAGGAUACACAUAUUGUUUAUAUAUAGGGUUAAUAUUUUUUACAUAGGGGUAAACCAGAAACCAUUAAUAUUAUAGAGGUUAAACAUAUAUUAACCCUAGUUUAUAUUUCAUGUCUUAUAGGACACACAUAUAUGACUUACCAAUGCAAUUCCAUCUCUAGUUGCAAGUGCAAGAAUAUCAGCACAAGAGACGGUGGCUUUGCAAGCAGUUUCAACACUGGUUUUAAUUGUAUCAAUCACUUCAAAACCCCUAGCUGAACCUUGGUUAGGUCCAGAAUUUUUCUCACCGACAAAUGUUCCUUUGUCAUCCAAUAAGAUUGAUGCAUCGCAUCCCUACCAAAUAAACAAAAAUAAAACUCACACAUGUUAAUGUAAUUUUUUUUACAGAAAAUAAAGAUAACCCGUGACUAAAAUAGUAACUGAAGUCUAGCCCGUGAUUUUUUUUUGUUUUGAAAAAAGAAUAUAAUAUUUAUUACUGUAACUUCACUAUGGAGCAGGAGUAGUUUAUUAUGUGAUGUUAAAAACACAUGCAUGAUAGUAAUAUUCAUUGCUUUUUGAAUUUGUUUACUACAAAAAAUUGUGAUCAAACUUACAACAUACAAGCUAAUAACAUAAAACGAUAAGAUGUCAACAAAAAAUAUUGAAAAAUUAAAAUGAUUGAGAUAAUCUUGUCUCCUAAUCUGUAACAUUGACGUCAGAGUCAUUAAUUGAAUAUGCAAUGAAUCAAAGAUGAUAUAUGAUAUGUCAAUAUGAUCUAAACGAGAGCACCGCAAGAAGAUUUAUAAUAAGAGGACAAGGAUUGCUCUAACCCUUCAUACAACAAAACGAGUUACAAACUUAAGAAACCCAAAGAAAUCAAUCCUUACAUUUCUCUCUUAUCUACGAAUAAACCACACCCCAAGACAAUAUUUUAACACGAUUCACGACUACACCAAUUUUAUCCACCAAACCUUUAAACAUAACUCUAAUCAAACAACACCAAUUCUAUCAAAGUUUUGACGUAAAAAAAAACAUUUCUCUUCUACAUUAAAUCUCAAGAAACUCAUCUCAUCUAAAUUAUAUAAGUUAUGGAGUGAUAAAGAUGAUUGAUAGAAUGUGAGAUAAAGUAAAAUUAAAUCAUAUUUUGAACAUGGUAAUAAGACUUACAUUUACAAAGCAAUCAUGGAAGAACAAUCGAAGUAUAGAAGCCCCCAUCCGGGCUUCCUUUUGGAUAACUUUGAUCAUUUCAUUGCGCACAAUGGUUUGGAGAUUAGAGCAAGUUUUUGCAUAAAAGUUCGGAGAAAGUUGUGCAUUAAUGGUUGAACAAGCUAAGAGAGAAAAUAUAGAGAGUGUAACAAAGAAUUUAAUCAAGGUGGCCAUUAAUUAUCUAGCUUGAAGCUACCAAUGGAGGGAAGCAAAGGAAGUGUGUGAAUUGUGAAUGAAGAUACAUAUGAAAGAUUAUGCAAUAUAUAGAGGAAUUGUUGGGCUGACUGUGAUGGUGCAUGCAUAUUUGGAAUAUAAUAAUUUGUCCCAAUUUUCAAAUUUGUCUGCGCAAUAUAGGUUAUAAUUUAUAGUACUUUUAAAAAAAAAUUAGGGAAUCUCAGUGAGAGAAAAUUUGUGAGAUAAAGAUGAGUAUAUAAUAUGUUACUCAUCAGAGUAGUUGAAGCACUCCCAAUAAUAAAACAAAGAAAAAGCUGGAAAUAAUUGAAGACUGUGAAGCAUUAACAAAAGGGAGAAAAAGCAUAAAGUGUAUGAAAUAUUUCAAUAUCCAAUUUUUUUCAUAAAAGGAACGUGUUUGUUAAGUAAUUUAUAUUUGUUUUUGUCAGAAAAAAAAAGUAAUGAAUUGUUAUUCCAUAAUUGUUUUUUAGAGGAAUUAAUAAAUUGUUAUCUGUACUUAUAUUGCAACAGUCAAGAAAAAACUACAUGUCACAGAUCUGUCAUGUGCAUUUCUAUCUUUUAUGGCUCGCGGAUCCAUUUUGAAUGUUCAAACGUGUUAAAUUAAAUAAAAGAUUAGAAGUAAAUAAUUAAGUAAUUAAGUUUUGGCGAACACAAUGUAGCCUAACUUUUAGUUGGGUGUAGACAUGAUCUCAAUAGCAAGUGGUUACAUAUCAAAUUUAUAGCAUUUUUUUUUAAACAUAAUAUCAUUGCGCGUAACUACGAAGACUAAUCUUUUGAAACUUGUGAGACCUAAAUAGAUAACAAACUCUCAAGUGCACAUACAUUCAUAUACUUCUUUUAAUAAAUAAAAAAAUUGAUUUAAGAUUUUGAAAAAAUAUUGUCUCUUUAUAUAUAUAUAUAUAUAUAUAUAUAUUCUUAACCUCUUAAAAAGAUUAUCAAAUUUAUAAUUUAUUACAAAGUAUAAAAUCUAUGAAGCUAAUAGUAAUAACAGUAUAUUGUUCAUAUUUUAUUUUAUUAAACUGUUGAAAUUUUCUUUUAUUACUUAAUAUAUAAUUAAUGAUUUGUAAUAUGAGGAGAUGAUUGUUCAUAUAUUAUUGAACGUCCAUUAAAAAAAAAUUUAAUGAAUGCAAAGUGAGAAUCAUGUUCUUACCAAUUAAAAAAACAAUUGCGUGCCAUGCAAAAAUUCCAAUCAUUCAGCAUAAAUGCUAUCUAAUCAUUAACACUAUAAAACCAUUUUUUAUUGGACCCAGUCACCUACUAUUUUGACCUGUUUUUCCCUAGUUGUAUUAAUUCACGUAAAGCAACGUGAUUAGAAUGGGCACUUACGUAAUUUAUAUGAAGUUGUGAAAACCACUUAUAAUAAAAUACAAUGAAAAUCCUUCAAAAAAUUAAAAUAAAAUACAAUAAAAAUAGCUUGUGAUAAUUAAUUGAUGAAAAUUAUCUGUGGGAAAUAGGAAAGUUACCCCACAGCGAGUUAAUUAGUCAACACAUCUAAAGUCCUGUAAAUGUUUUUUUUUUUUUUUUUGCAUGGUUAAAAUCCUUAUUAAAAAAGUUUGAAAUAACAAUAUAAAAAGUAAUUUUUUAGCAGAUUUGGAAAGAGGCCAAUUUUUUACCAUAUGAGGGAAUUCCCAGGAAACUCACAUGUUAAGAGUUGAGUAUUUUUGUGUGAGGCUUUAGGGUUAGGAAUACAUUUUAAACACCAUGGUAAUGAGAAUUUAUUGGAGGAAGAUCUAAUGUUUCUCGCUUGUUUUCUUGUGUGAUUAUCAUCGAGGGUUGAAAGAAAACGAAAGAGACAAAAAUAGGGUUUGCUCUUGUUGAGACCUUGAAACUAAUUUCUUCUUACUCUUUUGUAUCUCUAGUAUAGACACGUUGAUAUUGGAAUGGAGAGAUGCUGUCUUUCUUCAAACAUAGGUCAAUUUAGGCCGAACUAAGUAAACAAUUCAUUGUUUGAUUUCUCUAGACAUAGGUUGUAGAUUUGUUCUUGGUUGAAGUUAGCAUUGAUUGAGAUGGUUAGUUUGGUUGCCAUUGCUAUUUGUUCCAAUUUCUUGUUGUAUCCUGGCUCCGAAGAAACAAAUAUUUCCAUUUGUACAUUAUAGGCACUAAAUGUGAUGUUGAAAUUCUUUUUUUUUUUUUGAAAUAAUCAAUUUUCUUGAGAUUGAAAAAAAUCUCACUUUGAUAAAACGAUUUGGUUUAUCUUCAUGGUCACAAAGGACAAACACAAAAUUUUGCCUUGAAAGAAACAUUUGAACAAAUUGGCUUUAAUCAUUCAAGUUAACUUGGUUUUUCACAAACCUAGACAUUUUCAAGGCUUCUUUAGUCAAUUGAGUUUUCACAAUAGUUUGAACAUGUUUCUUUAGUCAAUCGAGUUUUCACAUCUUUCUGCACCUCAGCUUCCCAUCUCCUCCAUGAAAUUGGGAUUGUUCACACUCUAGUAGUCCGAUCAGUUUCUACAGCUUCUAUAUGGGAUGAGCAAGGUCACUUGUUGACAACGUGCUUAACUGCUCAUCCUAUCUUUAAUAUGGAGUGACGUUGUAGGUCCUUAAAUAGGUAUGAAGAAAUUCUAAUCUUGAUUAUAACACUUAUGAUUUUUGUUUGAGCAGUACACAAUUGAGAAAGAAGAAAAAACAAUGCAACAUUUGAUUAAUCCAACAUAAAACUAGCAUUAUCCAUUCAUUGAUUUAUGUAAGACAAACAAUAUAUAAAGAUCUAGUCAGCCUUUAUGACUUUGACCCUCUACUUAAUCAAUUAUCCAAAUUCUCCAACACAAUAUUUAUUCAAUUGCUAAUAUGCCCUCCAAUUCAUGAUCAAUUAAUUCACAAGUCUGCAAUUCUUUCUAAUUUCCCCAUUAGUCCCUGUGAGAGGACUAAUUCUGCUCAUCUUCACCAUAGCAAAAGCAAAGUCUCUUCUAAAAGCAAAACCAUUUAUACUAUAAGCCCUAACCAAAGAAACUGGAGAACCAACACCAUUGAAAAGUGCUUGAUCAGAAUUAAGAAGUCCUUUAUUAGCAACUAGAUCCCUAUAAUAAUUGUUGUCAAAAGUAACAGGAGAGACAGAAUCAAGAGGAGCCAAAUUUGUGUCACCGCCAGAAAGAGGACAGUUUGCUUUUCUUAAGGUUGCAAAGUUUGUGUCGAUGUUGGUUUCAUUGUAUAUGCGAUUUCGGAAAAAUUGACAUUCUGCUUGGCCUAUGGUGUGUGCACCAGAAAGGACUGUAAGGUCUCUUAAUGUUAGACCUUUGUUUUGAAACAUUUUAGUGAGUGUGGAUAGGUCAGAAGCUGGUGAAGGGAUUUGGGUGUUUGCUGCACUUUGACUUGCUGUUCUUGCAUCUCUUCUUCCAAGUGGUACUAUCCAUGAAGGACCUCCAAGCUAUAUAGAUUAAUUGAAACAAGGUUAAUUAUUGUGAUUCAGAAAGUAAUGAUGAAUCAAAAUUCAAAACUAUAUGCAUAAAACACCAUAACAAUAAUUAAUAUAAAACAAGAAAAUAGAAUUAGCAAUUAAAGUUAGAGAAAUAAAAAAAAUCUAUAUUUUUUCUCUUUAAUCAUUAAAUUUGAUGACAUAGUUAGGGAAAUUUUAAAGAAAACUCAUGUUUCACAUUGAAAUAGAAAUAAGGUUUGAUUUGAGUUUAUAAAAAGUGACACUUUUAUCUUAAAAGUUCUUGUAAGAACAAAUUAAAUUCAACAUAUAAAGGAAGGAUUUAUGGUGCUAUUGCUAUACCCAGAGCCGGUCUUAAGAUUUUGUGUCUUGGGCAUAACAAUAUAAUUAUGUCCUUUUAAUUAUUUUAUGUUUCUUCUUGCAUUUUUUAUGAAAAAGAUUCAUUCAUAAUGAUAAUUAUUUAAAAAUAUAUUUUCAAUAGAAUUAAUCAAAUCAAGUUAAAAAAAUAAUAUGUAUCUAUACAAUACUAACUAUUAAGUAAAAAUAAUCAUUCUGGAGCCUUGAAAAAUUGAUGUAUGCCUCUCCAACCCAUGAUCAGGGCCACCCCCUUACUCCACCAUUUAUAUUUAGGCACCAAAAAUAAUGUCCUGAGCUAGAGAGAGAGAAAAAAGAUUCAAGUCUCGUAUUUUUUUUGUGAUGGUCGGGGUUUGAACCUCGAACCUUGCAUAUAUUAUACAUUAUCCAUUUCAACUGAGCUAAACACACAAGGACAAGUCGCGCAUUUAAUAAAACAUAAUGUUUGACUAAAGUUUAUAAAAGUGCACUGUGGUCUCAAAUUUUUUGUUGCUAAUUUCCUUUUCUAGUAUAAUGAGUGAUUUGAUCUGAUCUUGUCAUCUUGAUAAAGAGAGAUGGUUGACAAAAACUGGUCGUUUUUCUCUAAAAAAAAAAUAAAAAACUGGUCGUUUUAAAUGGUACUUGGCUAUUUUGUUUGUUUGUUUGUUUCUUUUCAUUUUUAUAAUUUGAUCUUGUUGUAUUAAGUUAUAUCUUUUUGUGAAAGAUAUCUAUCUUAUCUGGAGGACCCCAUAUACAACGACAAGAGUUAACAUGAUUACCCUCAAUUAUAUGUGAGAAAAAGUUAAGAGAAAGUGGCAGACAUGGUUUGAAAACAAGCUCAUGCCAAAAACAAUGUAAUAGGAAAAAAUUAAACAUUCUCAAGCAUAAUUAUUUAUUUGCCUUUCUUUUAUCACAAAAUAAAAAUAUAUGUCUAAUAAAAGGAAAGAAAGAAAGAAAUGAUGGGUGACGAACCAGAGCAAUUCCAUCUCUAGUUGCAAGUGCAAGAAUAUCAGCACAAGAGACAGUGGCACUGCAAGCAGCUUCAACACUAGUUUUAAUUGCAUCAAUCACUUCAAAACCCCUAGCUGAAUUUUUGUUAGGUCCAGCAUUUUUCUCACCGGUAAAUGUGGAAGUGUCAUCCAAUAAGAUUGAUCCAUCACAUCCCUACAAAAUUAGCAAAUAAAUUGACAUGUUAAUGUCUAAUGCAAAUAAACAAAUUAUUUUUCAACAUUAAUAGUAUCUUAAUGUGAGCUUACAUUUACAAAGCAAUCGUGGAAGAACAAACGAAGUAUAGAAGCACCAAUCCGAGCUUCAUUAUUGAUAGCUUUGGUCAUUUCCCUGCGCACUAUGGUUUGAAGGCUAGGGCAAGUUCUUCCAUAGAAGUUAGGAAAAAGUUGUGCAUUGGUAGAACAAGCAAAGAGAGAAAGAAUAGAGAGUGUAACAAAUAAUUUGUUUAAGGUCGCCAUAUUCAAUAUAAAAAUAUCUAUUAUGCUUUAAGCUACCAAUGAGAGAAGCUAAGGAAAUGUGAGGAUUAAUUGUGAAGAAGCAUAUGAAAUAUUAACCAAUAUAUAUAGAGGAUUUUUUUUUUUUCUCUCGAGAGGAUACAGAGGGAUUUGUAUAGGCCAUUAUUACGACGGUGCAUGCAAAUAAUAGUAUAACUUGUCCCAAAUUUUCAAAGAUAUCUCCUCAAUACGCGCUUUGUAUAUACUCCUUUUAAUUUUAUGGAUAAAACUUGUGAAAUAAAGAUGAAUACGAUGGUUACCCAUUAGUUGACUUACCUAAUAAUAAAACAAAAGAAAAAAGCUGCAAAUAAUGGAAGAUUGUGAAACUAAGUGUGAAAAAAGCAUAAAGUAUGAAGUAGUCGUUGCUGGGUCGACAUAUACAUGUGUUAAUAAAGUGGAAAAAGGCAUUUCAUGAUACAAUAGUUUUUAAAUAAAACCAAAAUAUUAAGCAAUGUUUAAGUUUUGGAUCGAAUGACCAAUUCAAUUGAGAAUCGGUUUGGGUUGAUUUUUUCUUCUUCUUCUUCUUCCAAUUAUAUUGUAGAGUUGUUGAACAAGUUGAAAUUUGGUUCAAUAGUGGCUAAGUAUAACAUUUUUAUUUUAUUUUUAUAUCUGUUAUUUUGAUCAAGUGAUUGAACUUACAUUACUGUAUGCAAGUUCUUUAUUUAUUUUAUUUACUAAAAAUAAAUAAUAUUCAUUUAUUCAAAUUGUUAGAUUAUAUCAAUACAGUAAAAAUUCAUUAAAAAUAAAAAUGUUGAAUUUGUGAACAAACUCAUAACAUCAAAAUUGAUAUCAUAAAACAACAAAGUACAUAAAUUUACAAAAGUUACACUUAUUGAUUUCUUAAACAAUUUAUUUUGAAAACUUACUUUUUUUUUUGAGAGGAUCUUUAAUUAAGAGCAGUUGUUAUUCUUAGUUUUUUUUUUAGGAGUAGGGCACAUUUUUUAUAAGCAAAAUUUUAUUAAAACAAGGAUAUGAGAUACUUGAAAUCCAAUACAAAUAAGUCAAGAAAUUACAUGCUUCGAAGACAUCCAAUUGGGUCCAACCACCAUUAUGAGAAAACAAAUUUUUUAUUACGUCCCUCCUCACAAAUGAACCAAGAUCCCAGUAGACGUUUUAUACGAUCGACCAUCCCUUAAAAAUAUUUACAACUUUACUUUUAAAAAGAAUAUUAUAACGCUCCAUCCAAAUAUACCACACCGUUGUUGAAAAUACGAGGUGAACAACUUUUUCCUUGUUAGUGUUAUUAGAUAAUGAAAUGUUAGAUACAUGUCAUAAUAACAACAGUCAAGAAAAAUCUACUUCUCAAAGAUCUGGCAUGUGCAUUUCAUUCUUUCGUGGAUUGCGGAUCCAAUUUGAAUGUUUAAAGUGUUAAAUAAAGAUUAGAUAAACAUUUAAUUUUUUGCAUAAAUAUUAUUUGCAACUUUAUUGUUUGUUCAAAUUUUAUUUUGCUAUCAGUCAAAAAAACCUCUUAUUUUAUUUUGCUACAUCAAUCCUUCUCCUACGCAUAUUUAGGUAGUGCUAAACAAAAGAACGUAGCAUGUUCUUACCAAAUAAAAAAUUAAUAACGUGCCAUGCAAAAACUCCAAUCAUCCAUUCAGUAUAACUGCUAUACUAAUCAUUAACACUAUAAUAACAUUUUUGUUGGACCCAGUCAGUUAUUAGUUUGACUAGCUAUUCACACUAGUACGUAGCUGUAUAUAUGCAUGUAAAGCAACUUAAUUAGAGUUGAGUUAAUCAGUCAAACACAUCUUUGUGUUAGUUAUUUUCGGAUCUGACAAUUAAUAUUAAUUGGUGAAUUUUUCUCAUAUCGGAUACCGACUUAUGUCUGGUACUGGUAAAUGGCACUUCGCAUAGUCAAAAUCAUUUCAAAUAGUGUGUAGGUAAGAUGAUUUGAUGAAUUGCAUUUCUAAGAAGUAAUUCCUAUAGUAUCGAUAGUUAAAUGUGUUAUCAAACAUUUAGAAAUAUUGUACAACAAGUGUGAGUUGAAUAUGAAGGAUUUAUAAGUUCAAUUAAUGUCUUGAGGUUUUUGGUUAAUCAUUACUCGAGACUUUUAAGACUAUAUUCUUUAAAAAAUAUAGUCGAUUUUCUUUCGACUAGUAUGAAGCCAAAUCCCCUCUCUAAAGUUUGGCCUAACUUUUUUGAAGGACAUAGUCGAUUUCCAUACAACAUCACCAAUUUUACAAUUGUUCGUUAAAAUUUUCUCUUCAACUUGAGUGAUACUUUCAUAUCACAUAAAACGUCAGAGACUAUUCUCAAUUUCAACCAUCAGAUUUGGAUUCAAUUAUUUACAUAUGCUUCCAUCUCUUCGUCAUUUUGUACUACACACCUUAGAUAUUCAAAUUAUGUAACUUCCGGUCUAAAAUUAUCUUCAACUUUCACCUCUAAAGUAGAACUACUUCGCCUUUUAGAUAGAACUACAUUUCACACACUCUGUCUUACUUCCACUCAAGCGAAAGCCAUACGUUUCUGAGGCUUGUCUCGAAGCCUCCAAACUCCCAUUCAAUUCCUCCACCAACUCUUCAAGCAGGACUACAUUUACAAAAAAAACAUAUGUUUAGAUGGUAGCUAAAAUUAAGGAAACAAAUGUUGCACCCUCAAUUCUAUUAUCUAAGUAUGCUUUUCUUCACCACUUAUUUGAGUUUAUCUACUAUCAUAAACAAUUUAUGGAGAGUGGAGGUAACAUGUUUAGAUGUUUAAAACAAAUUUUAUAGCUAGGUUUCAAAGUAAAAUAAAAAUAAAUUAAAAAAAGUUUUGUCAAGUGCAAAGUUUGAAUUUGGAUUAGAGAAGAUAAAAGACGUUCUUGGUUAACUGAGUUGAACAAACAUUUAUAAUUAAUCUGUCAUAUUAUAUAUUUAUAACUGAAGUUAAUUUUUUUUAACCUUAGCCUAAAGUUUUGAGAUCUAAAGCCUUAACUUGAGCUAUUUGGCCCUUGGGCCGAUCCUAAAUUUAUGACAUGACACGUAUGUGUAUUGUUUUAAAAUUAUUUCAUUAAGCUCCCUCUAGGGUAGUUUAUUAAUCAAGACAACUUAUAUCUUAUAAUAAAAAAAAAAGUCAUGCUAACUUGCGCCCUUAUGUCCAAGUUAAGAAACUAAAAAAGGAAUUAAAAUUAAAGUCAACUUUUGUAUUGAAAAGCUAAAAUAUUAAACUUUUAAGAUAUUAAAUCCACAAAUUUUAAAAAAAAACUUCCAAGUUUAGUUUAUAAACUUGUGCCUCAAGACACUAGUUAACAUUUUCGUUAACAACUAGUUACAAACCCGUGCUUCGCACGGGUUCAAUAAUAUAUUCGAUAAAAAAAUUCUUCGAAAGAAGAGAUGUUAAAACGACGGAACAUUGUGAUUCAUCAUAAAAUAUGUAUGAGCUGAUUAAGAGAGUUAGUUUAUGUGAUUGGAAUUUGACAUAAUAUUUAUGAUGAAAACAAUUGGAACCAAUAAAGGAAACAAUGAUGUGGGAAUUAUGAUUACAUAUUAUUCAAAAUUAUAAAAAAGAGUGUUGUUGUUAUAAAGUUACCAAAAAAUGAUUGAUACCCAUAUUUAAAACAGAUGAAAUCAAGCAAAUAAGUAGCAUCAGUGAGUGAAGAUAAUCUAGUAUAUGAUUAGAAUUAAGGUGAUAUGUUGAACGUGCGGAUCAUGAAUACCAAAUCUUUAUUUGGGAAUGACUUGAACGUGCAUAUUUUUGGGUGGCUUCUCUAGGUCAAAAAUUAGCUUAUCACCUACCUCAUAUGUUCUCGGCAAAAGUUGAACCAUUGGCCGCCUAAGUAUUUUUCGUAACUUGCUCUCUUUGCCGACACUUAUACCUUUUUUGAGCUUGUUUGUCGAUGAGUGUGAUUGUUUUUCGUGUUCCUUUUAGAAAUGUCCUUGAUAUCUCAUUUGGAAAGUGCUAGGUACAAAACAAAUUGCAGUGUUAAUUAUAUAUAUAUAUAUAUAUAUAUAUAUAUAUAUAUAUAUAUAUAUAUAUAUAUAUAUAUAUAUAUAUAUAUAUAUAUAUGUACAUUUCUAAAACAUUUACCAAAGCAUUAUAAAGAUUUGCUGGAGGAAAAGAGCAUGUUCUAUUUUAUUCAAGAGAUUGGGAAAACAACAUUAUAAUUAACAUGAUACUAAUUGGAACCAAUGAAGGAACCAACAAUGUGCAGAUUAACGUUACAUAAUAGUUAGAUUUAUAAAAGAGAAUGCAAGUGUCAUAGACUAACCAAAAAGGGAUUUUUGUCAAUAUUUACAUCAGACAAAAUGAAAAGAACAAAUGGCAUCCCAAAGUCAAUAUAGUUUACGAUUACAGUCCAAAGCGAUACGUCAAAAUAAAAGAUGUUCAAAUAGUUAAGCACCAAAGAUCUACUUUUGAACAACUCGAACGUGCAAGUUCUUCCGUGACUUUUCGAGAUCAAAGAUGAGCUUACCACCUUCUUCCAUCACACCAAUCAACUUUCGUACGGCUCAAUGAUAUAGGAAAGAAUGAACCAAAUAUAAAAACUAUUACAACUUUAGGAUUACUCACAAAAACUAAAAUAACCCACAUGCAUAAAAAAAAAUCAACUACACUACCAGAACCUAAAAUAACAAUUGUGUCAAAACCUUACCAUAACAAAGAAAGAUUUUUCUACAGUCAUGCAACACAAUAAUUUCUGGUACAUAAUUCACUAACAAUUGAAAAAAAAAAAGAAAAAAAAAACCCUUAAAAUGCAGAAUCGUGAAAAAAGGAAUAAAAGUAUAUAUGAUGAAGUAAAAACUAAAACAGUGUCGAAAAGUGAACCCCUCAAACCAUAAAAAUCAGUCAACUCAAGUCAUGCAUGGUCUAAGAACCAUGAAAAAAUAAAGAAAAUGACCUCUUAUGAAGAAGAAAGUGAAACAUUGUUCCCAGCUGAACUUAGAUACGGCAAAUGUUUUUUACGAUCUAAAAGUUACUUUAAAACAAAGUUAAAAUAAAGGCCUUUAAGAAAGAAACUAAAGUUGUUUGUUUUCUUUAUUUUUUUAGUUUUAAAGCUACUUUUAAGUUAAAUGUUGUUUGGAAAAAUAUUGUACAAACUUUGAAUUUUUUUUUUUUUAUGGUGUCCGGGGUUCGAACCCCGGACUUGGCAUAUAUUUAUGAAUUGUUCUUAUCAUCUGAGCUAAACUCACGAGGGCAAAACUUUGAAUUUAUUAUGAAUGAAAAUAAUAAAUAAAUAAAAUGUUUAAAAUACUUUCUGAAGGCUAAAAAUGUUAAAAAAUAAAAGAUAUUUUUUUUUACAAAGACUACAUUUACGCAAUAACGUUUAUUUUGUGUAACAUGAAUACAAAUCUGUAUCAUCAUAUAAAUGACUUGUUAAAUAUAUUUUUUUUUUGUGGUGGCCAGAGUUUAAACCCCGGACCUUGCAUCUAUUAUGCAUUGUCCCUAUCAACUGAGCCAAACUCACGAGGAUACUUGUUAAAUAUUUGAAUAGGAGAAACAAUUUAAGGAGUCUGAAAUAAUAACAUAAAUAAUAUCAAAAUAGUUGGUUUUUUCUAUUUCAAUUAUACUCUAUAACUAAUUUCAUUAUAAGAAUAUCAUAUUUUUUUGUGUCUUUCAAAAAGAUAAGAAUUUAUAUUAUAUGAUAUUAUAUUUGUUACAUUGUUGGUGUCAUGGAAACAUAUGUUUGUUUUUUUGAAUAAGAAAAAUAUAUGCAUAGUUUGUUAAUUACAAUAUAAAGGUGCAAAAUAUAUAUAUAUAUAUAUAUAUAUAUAUAUAUAUAUAUAUAUAUAUAUAUAUAUAAAAGUAUAAUUUUUUUAGGCAUCUAGACUUUUUUUGAAGAAAAGACAUCUACAAUUUUACUUUUAAUUAAAAUCAAAAUUUUAUAAAAAUAAUCAUACGCAUUAUGCAACACCAAAAAAUAUUAUACGCAUUAGGGUAACAAAAAAACAUACAAACAUAAGGUAUUACUCUAAACACUAAUGUGUGUGUGUGUGUGUAUUUGCGAGUUUGAAAAGGAAAAUAAAAAUAUUUGGUAUCAUUAGAUGACAGUGUGAAUAAAAAUAUUUGUGAUGAUUAAACUAUAUUAAAAUUAAAUAUAUAAGUGGUAAAAAGAUAAUAAAAUUCCUUUGAAAAAAGAUAAUAAAAUUAAAUGGAACGGUUCAAAAAAAAUAAAGUUAAAUGGAAAAAAAUUGAAAUAUAAUAUUAAAAAAUAAAAAAAAGGUUCUAGCGUGAGUUGAAGAGAGGUGCUUGUGAAAUAAAUUAUUGAGAAGUAGGUUUUUAAAGUAACAUUCAAGAAAUUUUGGCCAAAGCUCAUUCUAUUCAAUUUUAUGCAUUCAAAAAUAUAUAUAUAUUUUUUUUAGUAAGUAUUUAAUUGAUACUGUGUUUGACCUAACUUCUCCUUAAAGAUGUAGAGAAGUUGGAAAAAAGCCGGGUCAAACGAUAUUUUAAUCUUCCACAACGACAAUGUAGAAGCAACUGAAUUCAGGAGAAAAAAUUGAAAAAUAGUUAAAAACAUAAAAAUUGGAAAAUAGUUAAAAGUUAUUAAAAAUAUAAAAUUAUAAAAUAAUUUUAAAAAAUUGAUAAGGGACAAAAUGGUAAAAUGCACCCAUAAAAAGGUGAGGUGGCAACAACCACAUCCCACCAAAUAUGAAAUUACAAAAAUGCCCCUCUUAGGGGCAAAAUGGUAAAAUUAUAGGGAAUUAAUUUUUAUAUAUAGUAAGUAGAUAUUAACAUUUUUUUUUAUCUUUUACUAUAAAAAUAACUUUAAUACAAAUUAAACACUCAUAUUUUAAUAAAUGUUUAUCCAAACAGAGGCACAAUUGAGAAAUAAGAAAAAACAAUGCAACAACAUUUGAAUCCAACACAAAACUAGCAUUUUCCAUUCAUUGAUUUAAGUAAGACAAACAACAUAUAUAUUUGUGGAACUACAAACAUUGAAACUAUCAAAUUAAAGUAGCAUCAACAAUACUACAAUUGCCAAUGUGUCCAAGAUCUAGUCAACCUUUAUGACUUUGAUUAUCUAAUUAAUCAAUUAGUUCACAAGCCUGCAAUUCUUUCUAAUCUCCCCAUUAGUCCCAGUUAGAGGACUAAUUCUACUCAUCUUCACCAUAGCAGCUGCAAAGUCUCUUUUAAAAGCAAUAUUAUUUCUACUAUAAGUCCUAACCAAAGAAACUUGAGAACCAACACCAUUGAAAAGAGCUUGAUCAGAAUGAAGAAGUCCUUUAUUAGCAACAAGGUCAUUAUAGUAAUUGUUGUCAAAAGUAACUGGAGAGACAGAAUCAAGAGGUGCCAAAUUUAUGUCACCACCAGAAGUAGGACAAUUUGAUUUUCUUAAGGUUGCAAAGUUUGUGUCAAUGUUGGUUUCGUUGUAUAUACGAGUUCUGAAAAAUUGACAUUCUGCUUGACCUAUGGUGUGUGCACCAGAAAGGACAGUAAGGUCAUUUAAUGUUAGACCUUUGUUUCUAAACAUGGUAGUGAGUGUGGAUAGGUCAGAAGAUGGUCCUGGAAUUUGGCUAUUUGCUGCACUUUGACUUGCUGUUCUUGCAUCUCUUCUUCCAAGUGGUACUACCCAUGAAGGACCUCCAAGCUACAAAAUAAAUUAAUUAUUGAGAUUAAGAAAGUCAUGAUGAAUCAAAACUAGUAUAAAGCACCAUAAGACUAUAGUUUAUAUUUGGUAUUUGUAUUUUGUACUUGCUUUUUUGGAAUGGAUAUAUAUAACUAAAAAAUAGAAUUAGCAAUUAAAUUUAGAGAAAAUA
rnacentral:lncRNA from 1 species